AUUGAACGCUGGCGGCAGGCCUAACACAUGCAAGUCGAGCGGCAGCGGGAAAGUAGCUUGCUACUUUUGCCGGCGAGCGGCGGACGGGUGAGUAAUGCCUGGGAAAUUGCCCGGUCGAGGGGGGAUAACAGUUGGAAACGACUGCUAAUACCGCAUACGCCCUACGGGGGAAAGCAGGGGACCUUCGGGCCUUGCUCGAUUGGAUAUGCCCAGGUGGGAUUAGCUAGUUGGUGAGGUAAUGGCUCACCAAGGCGACGAUCCCUAGCUGGUCUGAGAGGAUGAUCAGCCACACUGGAACUGAGACACGGUCCAGACUCCUACGGGAGGCAGCAGUGGGGAAUAUUGCACAAUGAGGGAAACCCUGAUGCAGCCAUGCCGCGUGUGUGAAGAAGGCCUUCGGGUUGUAAAGCACUUUCAGCGAGGAGGAAAGGUUGAUGCCUAAUACGUAUCAACUGUGACGUUACUCGCAGAAGAAGCACCGGCUAACUCCGUGCCAGCCGCCGCCGUAAGAC
rnacentral:rRNA from 1 species